rnacentral:lncRNA from 1 species
CAACACGUAACAAUUUUAGUACCUAUCAACUUAAGGUGAAAAGUUCAUGCAAUUAUUUGAAGAAAACACUUUAAAAAUAAAAAGUAUUAUGUGCUUCACCAAUUUGGCAAAUUGUGUAAUUCAGAAGUGUUUCACUAAUGCUUUAUCUAUUUCUCCUUUGCAUAGUGCUUUUUCCGUCACUUACAACAACUAUAUAUAUAUAUAAUACAUAAAUAAAUUUGGC